GUCGAGCGAACAGAUGAGAAGCUUGCUUCUCUGAUGUUAGCGGCGGACGGGUGAGUAACACGUGGGUAACCUACCUAUAAGACUGGGAUAACUCCGGGAAACCGGGGCUAAUACCGGAUAAUAUUUUGAACCGCAUGGUUCAAUAGUGAAAGACGGUUUCGGCUGUCACUUAUAGAUGGACCCGCGCCGUAUUAGCUAGUUGGUAAGGUAACGGCUUACCAAGGCGACGAUACGUAGCCGACCUGAGAGGGUGAUCGGCCACACUGGAACUGAGACACGGUCCAGACUCCUACGGGAGGCAGCAGUAGGGAAUCUUCCGCAAUGGGCGAAAGCCUGACGGAGCAACGCCGCGUGAGUGAUGAAGGUCUUCGGAUCGUAAAACUCUGUUGUUAGGGAAGAACAAAUUUGUUAGUAACUGAACAAGUCUUGACGGUACCUAACCAGAAAGCCACGGCUAACUACGUGCCAGCAGCCGCGGUAAUACGUAGGUGGCAAGCGUUAUCCGGAAUUAUUGGGCGUAAAGCGCGCGUAGGCGGUUUCUUAAGUCUGAUGUGAAAGCCCACGGCUCAACCGUGGAGGGUCAUUGGAAACUGGGAAACUUGAGUGCAGAAGAGGAGAGUGGAAUUCCAUGUGUAGCGGUGAAAUGCGCAGAGAUAUGGAGGAACACCAGUGGCGAAGGCGGCUCUCUGGUCUGUAACUGACGCUGAUGUGCGAAAGCGUGGGGAUCAAACAGGAUUAGAUACCCUGGUAGUCCACGCCGUAAACGAUGAGUGCUAAGUGUUAGGGGGUUUCCGCCCCUUAGUGCUGCAGCUAACGCAUUAAGCACUCCGCCUGGGGAGUACGACCGCAAGGUUGAAACUCAAAGGAAUUGACGGGGACCCGCACAAGCGGUGGAGCAUGGUGGUUUAAUUCGAAGCAACGCGAAGAACCUUACCAAAUCUUGACAUCCUUUGACCGCUCUAGAGAUAGAGUCUUCCCCUUCGGGGGACAAAGUGACAGGUGGUGCAUGGUUGUCGUCAGCUCGUGUCGUGAGAUGUUGGGUUAAGUCCCGCAACGAGCGCAACCCUUAAGCUUAGUUGCCAUCAUUAAGUUGGGCACUCUAGGUUGACUGCCGGUGACAAACCGGAGGAAGGUGGGGAUGACGUCAAAUCAUCAUGCCCCUUAUGAUUUGGGCUACACACGUGCUACAAUGGAUAAUACAAAGGGCAGCGAAUCCGCGAGGCCAAGCAAAUCCCAUAAAAUUAUUCUCAGUUCGGAUUGUAGUCUGCAACUCGACUACAUGAAGCUGGAAUCGC
rnacentral:rRNA from 2 species